rnacentral:sRNA from 1 species
UUGGGCAGGUCUGUUCAGGCACCGGCUGUAGCUAGUUUUGUAAACAGGGAGGCAGAACUGACUCAGAAACACCAUGCCCCACAUGGCUUACAGGACUUACUGACUGGUCCUUUCCAGAAAAAUCUGUUCAAUCCUGGUCUAAGGGGCUUCUCCUCUUCAAGUCUUGAUCUUUACCAUUCAAAAGCUACAAACUGAUCUUCACGAGUGCUGGGGAGACACAUCCUAGCACCUCAGAGGCCUGCACUCCCGAAGGCUACAGAGGUGUGCCUGACAAUGAGAGGAGCUCAGGUAUCCAUGUAGUAGUUUCCUGAGAACCGGAACUCAUGAGAAUCCACUUGAGGACAGAUGUGGGAUUGCCUUGUGGAUAACGCCCUACUGCGUAGGAAGGCCAGACGGGAGAGGAAGAAGCUGACCAUUUUGGAAAUCUGCCACCUUUAUUACCUGUCCGUCAGCCAUUUCUCUACCUGUCUAGCUCCUGGUCUCUCAGUGUGUUGAGGACAUGAGGAUAAAGGAGGAGAGGGGAACUAGAUGGAGGGACUGGGCAUCCUUCCUGUCAGGCUCCAUGGUAUGUCAGGGCCACCUGGCUCUACGGCACGUGACCUGAAUCACUCACGAAAAGUGGCUGCCUAGGAAAAACAGUGAGAGCCACUGGAGGCUCUCGAGGUCCACACCCUCUUCAGGGCUGUCCAAAGUUGUGGCCACUGUGAGUGGUGUGGAAGAGCAGCCAAGAGGCAAACAACAACUUGGCCAAAUCCAGUCAACUUCUUCAGAGACUUAGCUACUGCGAGUCUUAAACUCACCCUAUACAUUCUCUCCCUUAGUUUUUUCCCUCUGAGUCAGCUGACAUAGACAUCUUGGGGAAUCUGCAAUGUGGCACAAAGGGACUGUCAAGGCAGAGGCAGCAGAGAGUUCCCACUGCUCAUCAUCACGCGCUCCUUCUAGUGUGCUGCCGGGAGCAGACAGGACAGAGGCCUGCAGGAUGCUGACAGGUGAAUGAGAAGGCUCUGGAGUAGAGGCCAGCAACUCCAUUCCAACCACAGAGGAGCCGGGAGACACAAUUCGCUGCAAGAACAUCUCUCCCUUCAAGCGAGCUUUAAUCGCCCCCAAAUAAAAGAAAUUAUCUCUACCAGAAAAAUAUGGAAGCAGGUGAACAGAGGCAGUUCCUUCUUCUCCUCACCUCCCCAGGUGAUUGACAGCUACUCGCAGCUGCCCUCUAUUCCCAGCCAGCGGGUUGGAGGGGCACAGAUUAAAGGCCCGGCUGACAAAGGCCAUGGGAUUAGAUAGUUCCUCAGAAAUCCUUCUUUGAGCACUUAAAAGCCAAUCUAGUUUUAUUUCCCAAUAACGAGGCUUAACAGCAAUUCAGAGGCAAAGGCGGCAACCCGCAGACUUCCGCUGAGCGCUCCCUUCACAUCUGGGGCUGGUGGCUGCCGUGCACACGGAACAGCCCACAUCGGGAGGGAGGGUGCCUAGGAAGCAAGGCACAAAUACUUCACUGCAUGAUGGAGCCAGUCCCGCACGGAUAAUCUUGGUAUGUUUGCCCUCCCAGCUGCUGUUACCACCCUUCAAGCAGGGCCCACCCCGACAGCCAUCAAAGUAGCAGACCCCGGAAGAUGGAUCGGAAUAGGAAAAGACUUCCUCUCCAGCACCUAAGAGGCCACUUGCAAAUGGAUGUCGUUGCAGAGACAUCUGUAAAGUCCUUAGCGCAAAGGAUGACAUUUGUUUAGAGCUCACGUCUGAUUGCCUCAGCAGGCUAGCGUUUCAGAGUAUGCAUUCUCGGGCUGGUGGUACUGGUUUGGGAGAUUAUGUGACCUCUAGUUCGUAGAAACAGGUCGCUCACUGAGGGUAGCGGAGUGGGAGGAUAUAGGAGACGGUAGAUUAAUCAGUAAAAUGCUUGCUAUAAAAGCAUGUGGACCUAAGUUUUUAUCUCUAGAACGCACAUAAAAACCUAGGUGCGGUGGUGGGUACUUAUAAUCCUAUCGCUGGGGAGAUACAGCAGGAUCCCUGAGUCUAACCGGCCAGUCAGUCCACCUGAAUCUACAAACCCCAGAACACAGGGAGAGACCCUGUCUUUAAAAAAUGAGGUAGACGGCUCCUUAGGAACAAAUCCUGGCCUAUACAAGACUUCAUGGCAUCUGCGGUCCUAACUCAGACUCUAGGAUGCUUCCUUGGCAUCCCCAGGCCACUAGGGACUCAGUCAGUCUGGAUCAUCUGUUUCUGGAAGCUUCUCUAGAUCAGUGAGGACAGCGGGUUGGAAUUACACCCAGGAAUAGAAAAGUUGUCUUUCUGGGUUACUUGGGUUACCUUUUACAUUGCUCGAGGCCAGGAUCUACGUGGUUGGUUUUACAUCUUGGGCUGAUUCCUACUGGGAGCUUCUAAACACCCGUGCUGAGCCUGGCUUGGCUUUUUCAGAUGAAAAGCUUUGGUGGUACAGUCUGGAGAGACGUUUCAGUGUUCCACAGGUGAUUCUCAUGUGCAGCUUCAUGAGAAGCAGUGAUUUACACACCCUCUGCUCUAAAUCUGUUAGGGUGCAGGGUUGGAUCUUCCUGUUCAUCUGCUCUCUGGGCUUGAGAGUAUAAUAAGCAAUGAAUUUAUAGUAUGAAUCCCUGCGGGGGAGGGGGGAGAGAGAUAGAGAUAGAUAGAUAGAUAGAUAGAUAGAUAGAUAGAUAGAUAGAUAGAUGAUAGAUAGAGAAGAGAGUCCUGUUCCUGCAGGCUUCCUCACCUCUAGAAAAAACCUACUGAUCAGGGAGCUGCUUCUCCUAUAGGAAUUCCUUUCAUCUUGAGAACAUCCAGGAGUUUUGAGAGGCCCCAUAACCCCUCACAUUCACUUUUUUUUUUUUAACCUGCAAACCCUUUGAAAAAUCAAUGUCCUUGAAGAUGGAAAAAGCCAGGCUUUGACUCAGGUGGCCUGGAAGGUGCUUGUCAAUUCUAAGUGUGAGCUGUAGGUUGUGGGGCAUCAGUCCUCCCAUCUCUGGCACGUGUAACACGUCCAGAACUGUCAGCUCAGCCUCGAGAAGCUCAUGAGAUGGUGCUUGCCCUGACUGAAGUUACUGAGUCCGUAGAAAGGUCUCAAGACUAGCUGGAGGAGCUGAGAGAGAGAGAGAGAGAGAGAGAGAGAGAGAGAGAGAGAGAGAGAGAGAGAUAUCCUGACUUAAAUGACAGAAGAUGCUCAGUGAGAAGCAUUCCCACUUAAACGAUGGAAUAAAUCAAACUGGCUAGCAGGCACACCAAAGUCCUUUAAACCUGCAUGAAUUCUUAGGCAAAUGCCACCAACAUUCAGAGAUGCAUUGCUCUCUUUCCUCUCGGACACCCUCCCUACCCCAGGACACACCUCUGCCUCUUCGCCAUGACAGUUUCUCACAGUCUGAUCGUACUGAACACUGGGUAGAGAAAUAGGGCUCUGGUUGGUUUUCAAAAGUGCCCCCACAUAUCUUGAAAGAACCUAAUUUAUUUGGCCCCAUUUUUUUCCAGGGUGAGCUCAUGGGAAACCUCAUCUGGGGUAUCUGGGGCUCUGUAAGCCGCUCAUUAUGUGGAACCUGGAACCCCACUUCAGAUGAUGCCAGGAGUGACAUCUUCUAACGAGGUCACAGUGAUUAUGGGCAAAUGACAAUUUCCAUGUCUGCCACCGCUGCUUAAAUUGUACAUGGUCUAAAAGAAUAGUAAGGAGCUAAUUUUGUCCCUUGGGUGGGGACCCACAUGAGGAUGUCACAGGUUGCUGCUGAGAAGGCAGUCCUGCCCUGACAUCACAGAUCUGAAAUUCUGGAGCAGGCUCAAGUUGCUUUGGGCUGGUGCUUUGUGUGAGUGUUAACAGAAAACUUUCUGGGAAAGGACUGGGCUUUAGAAUUUAAGCAUUGGCUGCAUAGGACGGGUGAUGGUGACACAUCCUUACAAUCCCUGAACUUGGGGUUGGGGGCACUAAGGCAGGAAGAUUAUGCAUUGAAGUCUAGCAAGACCUUGUCUCAAAACAAAAUAAUUAAAAGAAGUCACUGCAUUUGUGUGCUGACACUGCCAUAACGGUCACGACUGGGUGGUAUAAACUACAGAAAUCCACUGUCUUGAAUGCCAGAAGUCCAAGAUCAAGGUAUCAGUGUCACCAGAGCUGUUAGAGUCGAAGCCUGGGCUAUGAUGGGCUUCACAAGCUAAGCAUGGCCACCCGUUCUCAAUAUGUCGAUUUAGAAACAACCCUGAACAGCAGAGAAAGGAGAUUUAUUCAAUGCAGCCACACUUGGAAGAAGAACAAAUAAAGGGGUCUAGUGAGCUCCAAGUUUGUCUUCCAGGUUCUAACACAAGGUUUAGAUUUAAAUAGAAGGCAAGAAGCAUGCAGAACUGAGCAGUCCUGGCCAAAGUGUGGUCCUACUCAGCACUGGUCACCAAUGCCUCUGCUCUAGACUCUCCUGCAAGGUGUUCCCGCAAGUCGGCAGAACUUUGUGACAUCUCUUUCUGGGAGACAGAAUCUUUUUCUAGCACGAGGCUUUAGCCUUUUUCUUCUCCCAGCAUGAGAUUCCUGGGGGAGAUUCAAUUCCUUGGAGAUUAAUAGUCUGAUAGCCAAAGGGUGGGGCACAAGUCUGUCUCCUUAGGGGAGCUUAAUUCUUGCCAAGAUAUUUACACAAGCAGACUUGCUUCUUGUGAGGGAGGGAUCUGAUCCUGGUUUACCUCCCUGGCUUCCUCGUUCCUAGUUUCCUUGUUCCCCUUCACGCCCUCUUUCCUGUAAAGGUAUCUGUCUGUAUGUCCAGAUUUCCUUUUUUAUAAAGUCACCACUCAAAGGCCCAGCGUAAUAAUUAUGUUUUACUUUGACUGUGUUGGUGACGUCCCUGUCCGCGUGUGCCAGCCCAUAAAGGUGCUGAAUGAGAGCUCGGAAGACAUGUCUUUCCGGCAAGGCUCAAUUCAACUCAUGGCAGAUUACAUCUAAAGUAAAUCUCGUAAAAACGAA